UUGUGUUAUGCCGCCAUCUUGGCGGUCAACCGGUCAGCUCUUUCCUACGUGUUCGUACGGAUUCAGUUUGAUUUCGGCGCUACAUUUUCACCGAUUUCAUCCGAAUUAUGGCUGAUUUGCUAUCCAAUGAAGAAAUUUUACCAAAUGCCAGGUAAAACACUCUCAACGGAUGAAUGAUCCUCCCCUCAGACCUUGGGUAGCAAUAGCGAAAGAUGGUCAGAUCCUGUGCUGCCACUGUACCUGCAUGGCUGGAUUGGGUGAAACAGGUUCACAUUCAGCAGCAUCCCUGUUCGCCCUGGAGACAUUAAUACGUAUGAAGACGGCCACUUCAUGCCCAUCACUACCUUGUCAGUGGCUGAAACCAUCAGCAUCGCACAUAGAAUAUGCUGAAGGAUGCAAUAUCGAUUUUGCCCGUCCAGCCCAGAAACGAAAGUCAGAAGUUUCAACUCCUGAGGAAAGUGCUGCGAGACAACUGCUGAAUGUUCCUCCACCAACUGAAGAGCAGAAAGCUGCCUUUUACAAGGCUUUGUCUGAAUGUGGUGGAAGACCAGCAAUUUUGAGCAUUGUCCCUGACUAUGCUGACAACUUUGUGCCAAGGGCAGUGAAGCGAAAGCUUCUUGUACCUCUCUCACAGCUGCACGAUUCUGGCAAUAUGAAACUCAGCCCAGAUGAACUUGCACUAAAAUGCCGGUCAGAGAUGGAAAAGUUACAUUCCAUUACCAGACAGCAGAUAUCUGCGGUUGAAGAAGAGUUCAGGGGCCAAGCAACAUCAACAACUUGGUUUCAACAAAGACCUGGGCGAAUUAGUUCAUCAAGUUCUGCACGCAGAUUUUUACACUCUGCAGUGAGGGAAUCCAUUGCUUCCCCAGUGAUAUCCGUCCGUCUGUGUGGCAGUAGUCACCAUGCCUUCUUUUCGAAUCUCAGCGUGCACCACAUCUUCACCAGCGGGUAGUUGAUCAUUUUCACAAGGGACAGACUGGGAAAUAUUGACAAGUGCUGCUGCUGCUGCUGCUGCUGCUGCUGCUGCUGCCAAUGCCCUCUCGCGGUCUCUCUCUUGCGCUGCUUGAGAUUUCUUCUUCUCUCAAAGAUCUUCAUUGAACAUUUGAGUUUUCGUUUGUGAGGUGACUGGGUAUGCUCAAAUAUACUUGGCACAUAGUCUGGGGAUAGUGGAUCUUCGCUUUUUGCACCUGAAACAAACAAUCACGUUAUUCAUAAUGACUAUCAUAAAUAAUUAAGCACGUUGUUCAAGGGGAUAUACCCAGUUCAAUUUGUUUCGUAAUGGCAUUUCAUAACUUGACAUAUUAAAAGACUGAAUAGAGUUAAAUCAUUCAGAUACUGUACCCGUCUGUUCAAGUUGCUAUCAUUUUUAUUUUUUGUUUAUUUUUGCAUGAUGCUUCAUCUGAUUGGCUUGAAAACUUAACCAAUAGAAAUUUUAACCGUGUGCCAAUGGCUUGAAAACUUUACCAAUGUAGAUUUUACCUUGUGCCAAAUGAAGUAACAAAAAGCCUCUUGUUCAAAAAUGCUUCAUUAAAAAAAUUGUUUCACAAGGUUCAUAAUUUUUUGGGAAAUUUCCUAAUGCAUUCACUCAUGAGAAUUAAUUGUUCAAUUCCAAUAUGAAGUUCAAUAUUUACAUUGAUAAAGUUUUCAAGCCAAACAGAUGAAGCAUCAUGAAAAAAUGAACAAAAAAUAAAAACGGGGAGGUGAACUGAAGAAAUCAUCCCAUUCCCUGCCUUGCUGCUUUUCUAAAAAUGCACCCAGCAUUUUCAACAAUCACAUUUGUAUCAUCCCAUAUUGUAUUGUUUCACAUUUUGUGAAACAAAUCAGGGGUGAAUAGUUUGUUUACAUACCUGAUAUGAAGUGCUCAUUGCAUAUCCUUGUGUAAAUCGUAGGUUUCCAUCGUUCACGACGAAUCGCCGCGAUCCAUUUAUCGCGUUUUUGGAUGUUUGCCGGAAAUCUAGAAGCUAAGGUUUGGUUUAUCAAGCUCAAAUAGCAGCAGAUGUAACGUGUGUGAGUCGUUGACCGGCACUGAAAUGUUGACCGGCAAGAUGGCCGCCAAGCUAAUGUACCGCGGCUGAUGACGUCAGCUGCAAAGCCUCUAUAGCAGGGGUGUCCCAACUGCGGCCCGCAGCAAAUUCUGAAAACAUAAUUGAAUAUGGCCCGCACAAGAAGCUUGAGCUCAACUCUGUUGCACUUCUCGGUUUCAACACUAGAUGGAGCCCGCCACACAAGUCAAGUUUAUUUGUAUAGCCCUAAAUCACAAGCAGUCUCAAAGGGCUUCACAUAGACAGAAAUUGACAAUUAUUCUCAAAGCAUCCCCUGAUCUUAAGCUCCCAAAAGGGCAAGGAAAAACUUAAAAACCCCUACUGGGGGAAAAUAAGAAACCUUGAGAAGGGACCACAGAUGGAAGGAUCCCCCCUUUCAGGAUCACCAGGUUGGAAUGGAUGCAGAGAGGGCACAAAUGAUACAACAUGAACAUCAAUGAAAUAAAAAGUGGAUGUCCAUGUCAGAGCAGAGGGCUGCCGAAGGAAAUGAAAUCAAGCGAAGCGUUCGACGUACCAUUAUGAGCCUGUGAUGGAUAUACUGCAAAAAAAAAAAAAAAAGGGGAGAACGAAAGGCUAAUUGUCAAACAAUUCAGCAAAAAAGCACAGAAAAGAC